rnacentral:rRNA from 1 species
AGUGAACGCUGGCGGUAGGCCUAACACAUGCAAGUCGAACGGCAGCACAGUAAGAGCUUGCUCUUACGGGUGGCGAGUGGCGGACGGGUGAGGAAUACAUCGGAAUCUACUUUUUCGUGGGGGAUAACGUAGGGAAACUUACGCUAAUACCGCAUACGACCUACGGGUGAAAGCAGGGGAUCUUCGGACCUUGCGCGAUUGAAUGAGCCGAUGUCGGAUUAGCUAGUUGGCGGGGUAAAGGCCCACCAAGGCGACGAUCCGUAGCUGGUCUGAGAGGGUGAUCAGCCACACUGGAACUGAGACACGGUCCAGACUCCUACGGGAGGCAGCAGUGGGGAAUAUUGGACAAUGGGCGCAAGCCUGAUCCAGCCAUACCGCGUGGGUGAAGAAGGCCUUCGGGUUGUAAAGCCCUUUUGUUGGGAAAGAAAAGCAGCAGGUUAAAACCCCGAUGUUCUGACGGUACCCAAAGAAUAAGCACCGGCUAACUUCGUG